rnacentral:lncRNA from 1 species
CCGUCUUUAUCAAACAAAUAUAGUUCGAUAUCCGUCUUUAUUGGACAAGCCAAUAUACAACAACAAUUCAUGAAUGCAUGUAUAUGUUUUUCAUAAAUUCACUCACAGUCAUUUUAAUUAGCAUUAAGCUCGUCAUUUAUAAAUGUGGAACACUAUCCAACAUUCCGUCUUUAUUAAGAUAACACUAUACCUUAAUAUACGUCUUUAUCGAAUAAUAUAA